AGUGAACGCUGGCGGUAGGCCUAACACAUGCAAGUCGAACGGCAGCACAGUAAGAGCUUGCUCUUACGGGUGGCGAGUGGCGGACGGGUGAGGAAUACAUCGGAAUCUACUUUUUCGUGGGGGAUAACGUAGGGAAACUUACGCUAAUACCGCAUACGACCUACGGGUGAAAGCAGGGGAUCUUCGGACCUUGCGCGAUUGAAUGAGCCGAUGUCGGAUUAGCUAGUUGGCGGGGUAAAGGCCCACCAAGGCGACGAUCCGUAGCUGGUCUGAGAGGAUGAUCAGCCACACUGGAACUGAGACACGGGCCAGACGCCUACGGGAGGCAGCAGUGGGGAAUAUUGGACAAGGGGCGCAAGCCUGAUCCAGCCAUACCGCGUGGGUGAAGAAGGCCUUCGGGUUGUAAAGCCCUUUUGUUGGGAAAGAAAAGCAGCAGGUUAAGACCCCGCUGUUCUGACGGUACCCAAAGAAUAAGCACCGGCUAACUUCGU
rnacentral:rRNA from 1 species